UACGUAGGGUGCAAGCGUUAAUCGGAAUUACUGGGCGUAAAGCGUGCGCAGGCGGCUUGCAAGACAGAUGUGAAAUCCCGGGCUCAACCUGGGAACUGCAUUUGUGACUGCAUGGCUGGAGUGCGGCAGAGGGGAUGGAAUUCCGCGUGUAGCAGUGAAAUGCGUAGAUAUGCGGAGGAACACCGAUGGCGAAGGCAAUCCCUGGGCCUGCACUGACGCUCAUGCACGAAAGCGUGGGGAGCAAACAGG
rnacentral:rRNA from 1 species